UGUUUCUCAUGGUCUAAGAGUCUUUAGGUGCCUUUUGGCAAACUCCAAGCGGGCUGUCAUGUGCCUUUUAUUGAGGAGUGGCUUCCAUCUGGCCACUCUACCAUAAAGGCCUGAUUGAUGGAGUGCUGCAGAGAUGGUUGUCCUUCUGGAAUGUUCUACCAAUGUUCUACCAUCUUCACAGAAGAACUCUGGAACUCUGUCAGAGUGACCAUCUGGUUCUGGGUCACCUCCCUGACCAAGGCCCUUCUUCCCCAUUGCUCAGUUUGGCUGGGAGGCCAGCUCUAGGAAGAGUCUUGGUGGUUCCAAACUUCUUCCAUUGAAAAAUGAUGGAGGCCCCUGUGUUCUUGGGGACCUUCAAUUCUGCAGAAAUGUUUUGGUGCCCCUUCCCCUGAUCUGUGCCUCAACACAAUCCUGUCUUGGAGCUCUACGGACAUUUCCUUGGACCUCAGUGCCUGUCAGAGCAAAGCCAUAUCAACCGUGGGACCUUAUAUAGACAGGUGUGUGCCUUUACAAAUCAUGUCCAAUCAAUUGAAUGUACCACAGGUGGACUCCAAUACAUUUGUAGAAACAUCUCAAGGAUGAUCAAUGGAAACAGGAUGCACCUGAGCUCAAUGUCGAGUCUCAUAGCAAAGGGGUUAGCAAAAGGUCUGAAUACUUAUGCAAAUAAGGUAUUUCUGUUUAGUAUUUUUUAAAUAAAUUAGCAACAACAAAAAAUGUAAACCUUCUUUCAAUUUGUCAUUAUGGGGUAUUGUGUGUAGAUUGAUUUAAUACAUUUUCAAACAAGGUUGUAGCAAUAUAUAUAUAUAUAUACACUGCUCAAAAAAAUAAAGGGAACACUUAAACAACACAAUGUAACUCCAAGUCAAUCACACUUCUGUGAAAUCAACCUGUCCACUUAGGAAGCAACACUGAUUGACAAUACAUUUCACAUGCUGUUGUGCAAAUGGAAUAGACAACAGGUGGAAAUUAUAGGCAAUCAGCAAGACACCCCCAAUAAAGGAGUGGUUCUGCAGGUGGGGACCACAGACCACUUCUCAGUUCCUAUGCUUCCUGGCUGAUGUUUUGGUCACUUUUGAAUGCUGGCGGUGCUUUCACUCUAGUGGUAGAAUGAGACAGAGUCUACAACUCACACAAGUGGCUCAGGUAGUGCAGCUCAUCCAGGAUGGGACAUCAAUGCGAGCUGUGGCAAGAAGGUUUACUGUGUCUGUCAGCGUAGUGUCCAGAGCAUGGAGGUACUACCAGGAGACAGGCCAGUACAUCAGGAGAUGUGGAGGAGGUCGUAGGAGGGCAACAACCCAGCAGCAGGACCGCUACCUUCGCCUUUGUGCAAGGAGGAGCACUGCCAGCCCUGCAAAAUGACCUCCAGCAGGCCACAAAUGUGCAUGUGUCUGCUCAAACGGUCAGAAAAAGACUCCAUGAGGGUGGUAUGAGGGUCCGACGUCCACAGGUGGGGGUUGUGCUUACAGCCCAACACCGUGCAGGACGUUUGGCAUUUGCCAGAGAACACCAAGAUUGGCAAAUUCGCCACUGGCGCCAUGUGCUCUUCACAGAUGAAAGCAGGUUCACACUGAGCACAUGUGACAGACGUGACAGUCUGGAGACGCCGUGGAGAACGUUCUGCUGCCUGCAACAUCCUCCAGCAUGACCGGUUUGGCAGUGGGUCAGUCAUGGUGUGGGGUGGCAUUUCUUUGGGGGGCCGCACAGCCUUCCAUGUGCUCGCUAGAGGUAGCCUGACUGCCAUUAGGUACCGAGACGAGAUCCUCAGACCCCUUGUGAGACUAUAUGCUGGUGCGGUUGGCCCUGGGUUCCUCCUAAUGCAAGACAAUGCUAGACCUCAUGUGGCUGGUGUGUGUCAGCAGUUCCCGCAAGAGGAAGGCAUUGAUGCUAUGGACUGGCCCGCCCGUUCCCCUGAAUCCAAUUGAGCACAUCUGGGACAUCAUGUCUCGCUCCAUCCACCAACGCCACGUUGCACCACAGACUGUCCAGGAGUUGGCGGAUGCUUUAGUCCAGGUCUGGGAGGAGAUCCCUCAGGAGACCAUCCGCCACCUCAUCAGGCGUUGUAGGGAGGUCAGACAGGCACGUGGAGGCCACACACACUACUGAGCCUCAUUGACUUGUUUUAAGGACAUUACAUCAAAGUUGAAUCAGCCUGUAGUAGUGGUUUUCCACUUUAAUCUUGAGUGUGAUUCCAAAUCCCGACCUCCAUGGGUUGAUAAAUUUGAUUUCCAUUGAUACUUUGUGUGAUUUUGUUGUCAGCACAUUCAACUAUGUAAAGAAAAAAGUAUUUAAUAAGAAUAUUUCAUUAAUUUAGAUCUAGGGUGUGUUAUUUUAGUGUUCCCUUUAUUGUUUUGAGCCGUGUAUAUGUAUAUAAUGUAACAAAAUGUGGAUAAAGGGAAGGAGUCGGAAUACUUUCCGAAUGCAGUUUCUGAACAAAGUUUGCCAUAAACUGUCAUGACACUCAUCUCAGUUGUGCCACUAGUGUUUUCUCCGAACCAUUACAGUCAUCAGCUCAUUUAUAGCCUGGUUCCCAGAGCUAUGCUGUCUUACCAACUCAAAAAGGUGACAACAACACAAACAGAUCUGGGACCAGGCAAGCUUAUCUAUUGUGUGGACAAAACAUUAAGAACACCGGCUCUUUCCGUGACAGACUGACCAAGUGAAUCCAGGUGAAGGCUAUGAUCCCUUAUUGAUGUCACUUGUUAAAUCCACUUCAAUCAGUGUAGAUGAAGGGGAGGAGACAGGUUAAAUCCACUUCAAUCAGUGUAGAUGAAGGGGAGGAGACAGGUUAAAUCCACUCCAAUCAGUGUAGAUGAAGGGGAGGAGACAGGUUAAAUCCACUCCAAUCAGUGUAGAUGAAGGGGAGGAGACAGGUUAAAUCCACUCCAAUCAGUGUAGAUGAAGGGGAGGAGACAGGUUAAAUCCACUCCAAUCAGUGUAGAUGAAGGGGAGGAGACAGGUUAAAUCCACUUCAAUCAGUGUAGAUGAAGGGGAGGAGACAGGUUAAAUCCACUCCAAUCAGUGUAGAUGAAGGGGAGGAGACAGGUUAAAUCCACUUCAAUCAGUGUAGAUGAAGGGGAGGAGACAGGUUAAAUCCACUUCAAUCAGUGUAGAUGAAGGGGAGGAGACAGGUUAAAUCCACUCCAAUCAGUGUAGAUGAAGGGGAGGAGACAGGUUAAAUCCACUCCAAUCAGUGUAGAUGAAGGGGAGGAGACAGGUUAAAUCCACACCAAUCAGUGUAGAUGAAGGGGAGGAGACAGGUUAAAUCCACUUCAAAUCAGUGUAGAUGAAGGGGAGGAGACAGGUUAAAUCCACUCCAAUCAGUGUAGAUGAAGGGGAGGAGACAGGAUAAAUCCACUUCAAUCAGUGUAGAUGAAGGGGAGGAGACAGGAUAAAUCCACUUCAAUCAGUGUAGAUGAAGGGGAGGAGACAGGAUAAAUCCACUUCAAUCAGUGUAGAUGAAGGGGAGGAGACAGGUUAAAUCCACUUCAAUCAGUGUAGAUGAAGGGGAGGAGACAGGUUAAAUCCACUCCAAUCAGUGUAGAUGAAGGGGAGGAGACAGGUUAAAUUCACUUCAAUCAGUGUAGAUGAAGGGGAGGAGACAGGUUAAAUCCACUCCAAUCAGUGUAGAUGAAGGGGAGGAGACAGGUUAAAUCCACUCCAAUCAGUGUAGAUGAAGGGGAGGAGACAGGUUAAAUCCACUCCAAUCAGUGUAGAUGAAGGGGAGGAGACAGGUUAAAUCCACUUCAAUCAGUGUAGAUGAAGGGGAGGAGACAGGUGGUUAAAGAAGGAUUUUUAAGCCUUCAGAUAAUUGAGACAUGGAUUGUGUAUGUGUCCAUUCAGAGGAUGACUGGGAAAGCCAAAAUAUUGAAGUGCAUUUGAACGGAGUAUGGUAUUAGGUGCCAGAUGCACCGGUUUGUAUCAAGAACUGCAACGCUGCUGGGUUUUCCCACGCUCAACAGU